rnacentral:rRNA from 2 species
CUGUAAACGAUGGGCACUAGAUGCUCGUUCUUUUGAAUGGGUGUCGUAGUUAACGCGUUAAGUGCCCCACCUGGGGACUCCGUUCGCAAGACUAAAACUCAAAGGAAUUGACGGGGGCCUGCACAAGCGGUGGAACACGUGGUUUAUUCGAUGCUACGCGAGGAACCUUACCAGGGGCUGACAUGCUGGAAGUAGCCACCCGAAAGGAUUGGCCACCUGUAACCAAUCAGGAACCAGUGCAGGUGCUGCAUGGCUGUCGUCAGCUCGUGCCGUGAGGUGUUCCCUUAAGUGGGAAAACGAGCGCAACCCUCGUCCUUAGUUGCCACCUUCGAGUAAUCGGAGCGCCUCUAAGGAGACUGCCCGCGUUAAGUGGGAGGAAGGUGAGGAUGACGUCAAGUCCGCAUGGCCCUUAUGCCCUGGGCUACACACGCGUUACAAUGGCGCAUACAAUGGGGGGCUAAGCCGCAAGGUGGAGCAAAUCCUAUAAAGUGUGCCUCAGUUCGGAUUGAGGNNNNCAAUUCGCCCUCAUGAAGCUGGAAUCGCUAGUAAGUG